rnacentral:rRNA from 1 species
GAGUUUGAUCCUGGCUCAGAUUGAACGCUGGCGGUAUGCUUAACACAUGCAAGUCGAACGGUAACGGUCCUUCGGGAGCCGACGAGUGGCGGACGGGUGAGUAACGCGUAGGAAUCUGCCUGGUAGUGGGGGACAACGUGGGGAAACUCACGCUAAUACCGCAUACGCCCUGAGGGGGAAAGCGGGGGAUCUUCGGACCUCGCGCUAUCAGAUGAGCCUGCGUUGGAUUAGCUAGUUGGUAGGGUAAAGGCCUACCAAGGCGACGAUCCAUAGCUGGUCUGAGAGGACGAUCAGCCACACUGGGACUGAGACACGGCCCAGACUCCUACGGGAGGCAGCAGUGGGGAAUAUUGGACAAUGGGCGCAAGCCUGAUCCAGCAAUACCGCGUGUGUGAAGAAGGCCUGAGGGUUGUAAAGCACUUUCAAUAGGGAGGAAAAAGCGUUGGCGAAUACCCGAUGCCUUGACAUUACCUAUAGAAGAAGCACCGGCUAACUCC